rnacentral:rRNA from 1 species
AGAGUUUGAUCCUGGCUCAGGAUGAACGCUGGCGGCAUGCCUAAUACAUGCAAGUCGAACGAAGUCUUUAGGAAGCUUGCUUCCAAAGAGACUUAGUGGCGAACGGGUGAGUAACACGUAGGUAACCUGCCCAUGUGCCCGGGAUAACUGCUGGAAACGGUAGCUAAAACCGGAUAGGUAUGAGGGAGGCAUCUUCCUCAUAUUAAAGCACCUUCGGGUGUGAACAUGGAUGGACCUGCGGCGCAUUAGCUGGUUGGUGAGGUAACGGCCCACCAAGGCGAUGAUGCGUAGCCGACCUGAGAGGGUGAACGGCCACAUUGGGACUGAGACACGGCCCAAACUCCUACGGGAGGCAGCAGUAGGGAAUUUUCGUCAAUGGGGGGAACCCUGAACGAGCAAUGCCGCGUGUGUGAAGAAGGUCUUCGGAUCGUAAAGCACUGUUGUAAGUGAAGAAUGCCACAUAGAGGAAAUGCUAUGUGGGUGACGGUAGCUUACCAGAAAGCCACGGCUAACUACGUGCCAGCAGCCGCGGUAAUACGUAGGUGGCAAGCGUUAUCCGGAAUCAUUGGGCGUAAAGGGUGCGUAGGUGGCACGAUAAGUCUGAAGUAAAAGGCAACAGCUCAACUGUUGUAUGCUUUGGAAACUGUCGAGCUAGAGUGCAGAAGAGGGCGAUGGAAUUCCAUGUGUAGCGGUAAAAUGCGUAGAUAUAUGGAGGAACACCAGUGGCGAAGGCGGUCGCCUGGUCUGUAACUGACACUGAGGCACGAAAGCGUGGGGAGCAAAUAGGAUUAGAUACCCUAGUAGUCCACGCCGUAAACGAUGAGAACUAAGUGUUGGAGAGAUUCAGUGCUGCAGUUAACGCAAUAAGUUCUCCGCCUGGGGAGUAUGCACGCAAGUGUGAAACUCAAAGGAAUUGACGGGGGCCCGCACAAGCGGUGGAGUAUGUGGUUUAAUUCGACGCAACGCGAAGAACCUUACCAAGGCUUGACAUAUACAGGAAUAUAUAAGAAAUUAUAUAGCUCUUCGGAGUCUGUAUACAGGUGGUGCAUGGUUGUCGUCAGCUCGUGUCGUGAGAUGUUGGGUUAAGUCCCGCAACGAGCGCAACCC